rnacentral:lncRNA from 1 species
CUGGUCAUCCAUGUUCACUGCUAUCCUAUUCCAACAGCCAGGGAAUGAAAACAGCGUGUCUGUCCAUCAAAUGAUGGAUUUCAACCAGAGCAAAGCAGCACUCUCCCUAAUGCAGAGGAAGGCCUGUUAGAACACAGGCAGAAAUGGGGGCUGGCAGAGAAGAGGAACCUGAUCCAGGCCCCAAGAUGGUAACACUUUGGGGACCUCAUCUCGGGAUGUUUUCUGAGGACCAUCAGCUCAUCGAGGACAGUGUAAACCAAGGCAAAGCACUGAAGGCAUAGGAAGGUGUGGCCAUUGGGCUCCAGCUCUCCCUCAUCUUGGAUUUGGGGGGUAGGGAAGUCCUCCACCAUUCAUGAGGGUGUGGUUGCCAUUUCAUUUCUUCCCAGCUUGUGAUAGUUUCGUUUGGAACAAGCAAAAGAAACUUAUUCUAAGUGCUGCUAUCUCACUUUCAGAUUCCAUUUAAUCAUAGGGAAAAACCAAAUUCAAAGUCCCAGGCCCUAGGGGAGCUGGGGACUUACCAAUAGCUGAACGGCUUCUGUUGUAGGCAAACAGCUGUCUGAGUCCAGUCAUCUCAAGAACAACUUCUCCGUCUUGCUGCCAGGGUCAAGCAAGUUCACGAUCCCAGGCCCAGGAACCAACUCCUAUCCUGAUUAAUGGAAACUCCCUUGUUCAACCCUUUAUGUCAAAAUAUGAUUGGACAAUGCUACAGCCCACCCAGCUCCCCCUCUCUUUAUGGUUUCAUCCCUUAAAUAUGCUGUGCAACGUCCCUUCAGGGUCAUAGUUUAGAUCCUGAUUCUGUUCUGUGGUCCCGAUCAAUCGGUAGCAGUUUGAUUAAAAUACACUUUUGUCAUCUGCACUGACCUUGUGUUUGAGUUAUGUUGGGUUUAUGGUGGAUUAAAGCAGACCCCACAACAGUAGUUUAAAUUAGGAAUGGUUCACAAGGCUCACAGAUUUGAGCCUCACUCACUAGGGGUGGCUCUACCUGGCAGGGAUUAGGAGGUAAAGUCUUCCUAGAGGAAGCGUGUCACUGGGGGUGGGAUUUGGGGUUUCAAAUGCUCAAUGACCCUCUUACUGCUGCCUGUGCAUCCAGCUGCAGAACUCUCAGUUACUUCUCCAUGUCUGCCUGCAUGCCUCCAUUCUUCCCUCCGUGGUAACAACAGGCUAAAACCCAGUUAAAUGCUUUCCUUCAGAAGAGUCGCUGUGGUCAUGGUGUCUCUUCACAGCGACAGAGCGCUGACUAAGAUAUAGCUGUUCAAUAGAUGAGUAAGCUUCCCAAAAUGCUCCAUA